CCCAAUAAUUUAUUCUUUGUCUAAGUACUUUAAUUUCUGUUUCCAUUUUCCUCUGUGAAUCUACCACCAUUUUAAAUUGGUAUUCCCUUUGUUCAUAUCUCUCUUCAAUCUGUGUUAUCUUUGUACACACAUCCUCAAUUUGUUGUUUAAGUUGAAGUAGAAUAUUUUGGAUCUCUAUUUGGAAUGUUUCAGUUUUUUGUUCCAAACUAAUUUUGAUAAAUUCUUGUAAAUUAAAUGAGGAUUUUCUUUUUUCCUCUAUUAUUGAUUCUUGAUUCUUCCAGCACCGGGCUUUCCACCCUAGAUUUAUUGUGUUGCUCUGUUUGCUUUUGGCAAGAAAAAUUACGAGACUCCUUUUUCUUUUUUUGGCCCUUUUUUCCCCCUUGUGUUUUGAGAGUAGCCAUAUCUGGUCCAUUUAAUUAAUAGUUGACCUUUAACCCCUUAAGGAGAAAACUUCUGGAAUAAAAGGGAAUCAUGACAUGUCACACGUCAUGUGUGCUUAAAGGGUUAAAUGGCCACUUUUGUUAAGUUUUAUACCUUCAAUUUAUGGGAAGUUACUUCUACUUCUAG